rnacentral:rRNA from 1 species
AGGGCACCACCAGGAGUGGAGCCUGCGGCUUAAUUUGACUCAACACGGGAAAACUCACCCGGCCCGGACACUGGAAGGAUUGACAGAUUGAGAGCUCUUUCUUGAUUCAGUGGGUGGUGGUGCAUGGCCGUUCUUAGUUGGUGGAGUGAUUUGUCUGGUUAAUUCCGAUAACGAACGAGACUCUAGCCUACUAAAUAGAUCGUCGGCUUACAAACGCCGACGAGACUUCUUAGAGGGACAGGCGGUGAUUCAACCGCACGAAACAGAGCAAUAACAGGUCUGUGAUGCCCUUAGAUGUCCGGGGCCGCACGCGCGCUACACUGAAGUGAUCAGCGUGCUUUUUCAACCUACUCUGUCAAGAGUGGGGAACCCAAUGAACCUUCUUCGUGAUUGGGAUAGGGGAUUGUAAUUAUUCUCCUUGAACGAGGAAUUCCCAGUAAGCGCGAGUCAUAAGCUCGCGUUGAUUACGUCCCUGCCCUUUGUACACACCGCCCGUCGCUACUACCGAUUGAAUGUUUU